UCUCCAGAGUGGUCCUCUGAUCAUAUAGCACUUUUAGCUGAAUUUCGUUGCAAGUCUAGACCGAGACGUUGACAAUCCGGGGUCUAAUGAUGGUCAAGAAGAUGACAGAGAGAAAUCCAAGGAAUCAAGUAAAUUGCAAGAAUGGUAGAUCAUGGUCCAUGUGUCAUUUUACAGGUAUCUCUAUAGUGGGGAUCGUCUCUAUGAUCUGCUUUGUAUCAUGCCACCAUUGUCUCAUAGAAAAAGAUAUGCCAUAUUCAAUGGUUUUUU
rnacentral:misc_RNA from 1 species